rnacentral:rRNA from 1 species
UGGGGAAUAUUGGGCAAUGGGCGAAAGCCUGACCCAGCGACGCCGCGUGGGCGAUGAAGGCCUUCGGGUCGUAAAGCCCUGUCAUGCGGAAAGAAAAGUCCCGCGAUUAAUACUCGCGGGAUGUGACGGUACCGCAGAAGGAAGCACCGGCUAACUCCGUGCCAGCAGCCGCGGUAAUACGGAGGGUGCAAGCGUUGUUCGGAAUUACUGGGCGUAAAGGGCGCGUAGGCGGUAAUAUAAGUCAAAUGUGAAAUCCUCCAGCUUAACUGGAGAACAGCAUCUGAAACUGUGUAACUAGAGUACAGGAGAGGGAAACGGAAUUCCCGGUGUAGAGGUGAAAUUCGUAGAUAUCGGGAGGAACACCAGUGGCGAAGGCGGUUUCCUGGCCUGAUACUGACGCUGAGGCGCGAAAGCGUGGGGAGCAAACA